ACCAACGGGUCCCACUCAAACUUAUGCCAAAAGUGACCCAUUUACUUAUUUUUCCAACACAUUCUCCAAAAUUAAGGAUGUUGAAAAUUUCAUUGUCCCUAUGUGUGUGACAGGUACAACCUCACCAUUUGGGAGUGCUACAGAAUAAGAAACUUCUGCAUUGAUUGUGGUAUAUAAUGAGGCUGAACAGAUCAUAUGAUCUGUGGCCCCGUAUCUAAUAUCCAAGGAAUAGUGGAAAUAUCGGUGACUUUUGUACUAUGAACUAAAAGGCAUAGAGAUAUACCAGAAAUUUUGGGUAUUUUACCAUCAUUAGAGUGAGGCUGAGCAAAAGUUUGGACGCUUUUUGCAGAGGAAAUGAAUGUCUAAGGACUUUGUGGUUUGAGUAAUGCCAUAAGCUGAGCAUAUUGCUCCUGAGUUAUAGACUUUUGGGCCUUGUCACUCACAUGCUCUUGGACAAAAGGCAGAAGUGCAGAAGUUUGAUUAGCAAAAGAACCUGAGAUUUUGUUUCUCCCAUCUGGUUUGUAGCUUGGUGGAUACCCAUGUAAUUUGAAACACUUGUCUAUUGCAUGACCAAGCAUUUGGCAGUGAGAGCACGUUGGUUUAUUUGGAUUAGCCUUGAAACACCUCUCUAGAGAAUGUCCUGCCAUCUUGCAGUAAGUGCAGUAGUACUUAUCCUUUCUUUGAGCAGACAUGUUCUUCCAUCCAUUCCUGAAGUUGCCCCUUGUUAAGAGUGCCAUAGAUUCACUGAUAAUUCCAUCAGAGGAUAUCUGCCUUCUUUUCUCUUCUUAUUGUAUAAUGGAGGAUGCUUCAUUCAAACUAGGGAAAGGUUUGAUCAAUAGUGCCUUAAGUCCCUUGUAUGAAUCAUUUAAACCCAUUAAAAACUUAAUAACCUAAUCUCUCUGCUGGUUUUGCAACACAGUCUUUAAUCCUCCACAAGAACAACUAGGUAUUGCCUCAUAAUUUAUUAACUCAUCCAAGAGAGUCUUAAGUUUGGAGAAAUAAACAUUUACAUUAUCUUGAUUCUGGACUAGAGCUGUUAUACCUUGCUUAACUUCAUAUAUUCUUGGUGCAUUCUGCCGGGCAAAGUGUUGUUCAAGCUCCAACUAGAGUUCAUGAGCUGUUUCUGCAUAUGUUGUGCUGCAUUUGAUAUCUAAUGUCAUUGAGUUUUGCAUCCUAGUGAUCACAAUAUCAUUGCAUCGUAACCAAUGCUCCAUGAGAGGAUCAUUUGGGUCUGAAGGUUCACAAAUGCUGCCAUCAAUAAAACCUAACUUAUUUUUUUAUCCUGAGAGCUCUCUUCAUUGAUCUAGCCCAAGUGUGGUAAUUACUUGCAUCCAGCACAUGAGUUAUUAACACAGAACCACUUCAAUCAUUGCUGUUAAUGUAAUAAGGACUGCUUGGUAAAAUGGAAUUAUAAGAAAGAGCUGCCGAUUCACCAGAUGAAUUUGCAUUGGGGUUUGGAUUUGGAUUUGGAGUUGAUAUGGAAUUUGGAUUAGGAAUUUUAGUAUCCACCAUUAUGGCUCUGAUACCAUAAAAGAAAAGUUGUGAAAAAAAGGUAAAGGGAUGAACAAACAGGAAAGCUUUCAAGACAGAGUUGAGAGAAUUUUGUGAUUGGAU
rnacentral:lncRNA from 1 species